UGGCCAUUAUGUGUGUUUUUUUAAUAAUUUUAUUAUUAUUGUUCUUUUUUUUAAACUAUUUUCAAGAUUUGUAAUAUGGUUUUGGGCUUCUCACCUCCACCGAGGGGCCGUGAUUACUUGUGAAUCGUUGUUCGGUGUUAUCCGUCGCCAUUCCUGAAACGGAUCUCCAAGAUCAGCCGGCAAAGCUCGUCAAAUUUUGCAGGAUAAUAUCAGGUAAACACAGAUGGUGAGAGUUGCUUCUGAUGGAGGAACUGGGCGUCGUUUACCGCAGUGGAUGUUGGGAGUCCGUGCUGACAACCAAGUACAGAGAACUAAUGAUGCAGAAAACAACAAGAAGGGUCUAGAGGAAGAACUUGACUCUCAAGCAUCCCUAGCCAAGGAAGCAAAUUCGGUUAGGUGUCAUCCAAAAUCAGUGUUGCACCAACAGAAAGAAGCUUUGAUGGAUGAUUCAUGCAUCCUGCAAUGUGAAUCUAAGAGAAGGAAGGGAAGAAAACUAAAACCAAGUCAAAUUGAUGCGGCUAAGGAUGGUCAUGACGCUGAGGCAGUCCCAGCUAAGAAAUCAAAUAGAGUUAGGAGGAAGCCUUUGAGCUCUGCCUUGGAAAAAAGAAAAGGACCUAGAAACUUGGAUAUCAAUUUGGAUAUCCAAGUUCGACCUCCGGAUGAUGAUGAUGAUAUUGGACUGACAGUGGAAGAUCUAAUGGUCAUUGCAAAAGAGUAUGUUGAAGCUGACAAGGAUAGGGAUGAUAGGCACAAAAUAUAUGCAGAACGUGAAUCUAGUAGAAUAAAUCAAAGAACAAGCUACACCAUGAAUCAAGCUGAAGGAUCUUUUAUUACUAAUAAGGAUAGCAAGCAGAGUGCACUGGAUUUUAAAACCUCAAUUCCUCAUGAGUCAACUGCAAUUUCAGGUGGUGAAAAGGUUGAUAGAAGUGUCAGGACAAUGGGAGAUCCUGCGAAGGACAUGCUGGAUUUGUUUUUGGGUCCUUUGCUUAAGAAGUCUGUAGAGAUUGAGCAAUCCAAAUUUCUUACAACAGAUGUACAAUUUUCUUGUGACUUAAAGAGUCAAAAUCAAAGGCAUAAUGAUAAUGUUGGAGAAGUAGUCUCAGUAAUGAAGAAGAAGAGCAGCCUGAGAGAUAAGGUUGCAAUAUUCCUUGGCUAAAUAAAACAGACAAAUGUACUACAGUGAUGUUUGAAGAGAGAGUAGAUAUCCCAAGAUGUUUUUUGAUCCUUGAUAAUGGGCUGACAAGCAUGAUGGAUCUGAGCUGGAGGAAGGUGCUGGACUUGCUGAGUUUGGCCCAACUUCAUUUUGAGUUGAGAGAUAUGGAAGACAUUGUGGGUCAGUGCUUUAGGUGGUAGUUCUAAAUGAUACACUUCGUCGACCACUUGGAAGUUCAAUUCCCUCCGAUGCAAUCAAAGGAGGUGGGGGUCUACCUUAAACCGCUUAAAAUGGAGAUGAUGCAAGUUCCUAUUGCCGAAAACAAUUCCUUCUAGAAACUACUUAGGAAGAUCUUGUCAUGAUCGGUGAUGAUCAAUUUUGGGAUCCCGUGUUUGCUUACCACCCAGUCAUUAAACACAUCAGCAACUUGCUUGGCUGUGCAAGGAUGUUUGAGAACAAUAAAAUGGCCAAAUUUACUCGGUCAGUCCAGCACCACGAUGAUAGAGUCAUAUCCUCCCGAUUUUGGCAAUCCCUCAAUGAAAUCCAUGGUCCAAUCUUUCAGUAUAACUCAGGUGCCGAUAAAACCAGCAGCUCCGCCGGGUGAUUAAGUCGAGAAAGAGCAUCUACUACCUUGUUUCGGAGACUUGGUUGAUAUAAAAUUUCAAAAUCAUAUCCAAGCAGCUUCUCCAACCAUUUUUGGAACUGAGGUUGAACCUCCCUUUGUUCAAUGAGGAACUUUAAAGCUUUUUGGUUUGAAUUGACCCUCAAUUUCCUUCCUAACAGGUAGUGUCUCCACUUUUGGACCACCAACAGCACAUCUAUUAAUUUCAUCUCAUAGAUGGACUUGGUCUGUAUUCAAGGUAAAAGUUCCUUUGAAAUAAGCAGCUGGUUUCGAAUUCUGCUACAAGACUGCUCCCCGACCAUAAUCCGAUGCAUCAGUUUCAAUGACAAAUGACAGAGAAAUUUGGAAGAGCUAAGACUGGUAUUGACACCAUUACACGUUUCAAGGCUUCAAAAGCUACAGUAGCUUCCUCAUUCCAACAAAAAAGUUCUUCUAUAGGACUUUCGUAAGAGGAGCUGCAAUCUUUUCAUAUUGUUUCACAAAACGUAGAUAAUAUCCAGUUAAGCCUAUGAAUCCCCUUGAGUUCUGAGAUGUCCUUGGAUUGAGGCCUGUUCACCAUGGCUUUCACCUUCUCCCUAUCAGCUUCGACCCCUUUACUUGAAUUCCAAUGUCCCAAGUAUUGUAUUCUCGAGUGACCAAACACUCAAUUCUUUCUAUUGGCGAAUAACUCGUUAUCUUUCAUAAUAGUAAACAUCGCUCCCAAGUGCAUCUUAUGUGUAGUAGCAUUCGGGCUAUACACUAGAAUAUCGUCGAAGAAUACCAACUUGAUUCAUGAGAGAUUGAAAGGUGGCGGGGGCAUUUGUCAGACCAAACGGCAUGACUAGAUAUUCACGUGCGAAAUUAUAGAAAACCUCCUUUAAGAUCGAACAAUUCCAUUAAAUUGAGUAUGAUUGUACGUGUGAUAGCAUCUACUAUACUAGGAAUAUCUAUGAACCCGAUUAUUGAUAUUGCUCAGUAUACCCUUUUUUAAUUUAGCUUCUAGAAUCUAUUUUUUA